AUGCCUUAAACUAAUGAGUAAGGAAAACAAAGCGAGCGGUGGGAGCUGCUCGCCGCGCCUAUCACAUUUUGUGCGCAGUAAUUUGUGGAGGGGUUAUAGGCUGGCCAAGUGUUGACGCUGCUUACUUUGCAGAACUCACUUGUGCGGGCCUCCC